rnacentral:rRNA from 1 species
AGCGAACGCUGGCGGCAGGCUUAACACAUGCAAGUCGAGCGGGCGUAGCAAUACGUCAGCGGCAGACGGGUGAGUAACGCGUGGGAACAUACCUUUUGGUUCGGAACAACACAGGGAAACUUGUGCUAAUACCGGAUAAGCCCUUACGGGGAAAGAUUUAUCGCCGAAAGAUUGGCCCGCGUCUGAUUAGCUAGUUGGUGAGGUAACGGCUCACCAAGGCGACGAUCAGUAGCUGGUCUGAGAGGAUGAUCAGCCACAUUGGGACUGAGACACGGCCCAAACUCCUACGGGAGGCAGCAGUGGGGAAUAUUGGACAAUGGGCGCAAGCCUGAUCCAGCCAUGCCGCGUGAGUGAUGAAGGCCCUAGGGUUGUAAAGCUCUUUUGUGCGGGAAGAUAAUGACGGUAC